rnacentral:rRNA from 1 species
UAUUGGACAAUGGGGGGAACCCUGAUCCAGCCAUGCCGCGUGUGUGAAGAAGGUCUUCNGAUUGUNANGCACUUUAAGUUGGGAGNCCGGGGUUGAAGCUAAUACCUUCAAUCUUUGACGUUACCAACAGAAUAAGCACCGGCUAACUCUGUGCCAGCAGCCGCGGUAAUACAGAGGGUGCAAGCGUUAAUCGGAAUUACUGGGCGUAAAGCGCGCGUAGGUGGUUCAGUAAGAUGGAAGUGAAAUCCCCGGGCUUAACCUGGGAACUGCUUUCAUAACUGCUGAGCUAGAGUACGGUAGAGGGUAGUGGAAUUUCCUGUGUAGCGGUGAAAUGCGUAGAUAUAGGAAGGAACACCAGUGGCGAAGGCGACUACCUGGACUGAUACUGACACUGAGGUGCGAAAGCGUGGGGAGCAAACAGG